rnacentral:ncRNA from 2 species
UGAUCUGCGGCGGGAGAGUCCUGCAAGCAAACUGAUGCGGGCGCCGUAGGAGCAAAUCCUCCCCAGGAAUCUCUCAGGCCCAUGUACCGCCGCGGCAAG